rnacentral:lncRNA from 1 species
UGUGAAACCUCUCAUUAGUUAAUAAAGAGGUCAAAUUAGGUGCAUGUAAUAUUUGGGCCUCAGCAGUACACAUAGCUUCCAAAACCCUAUAGUACAACUUAAGUGCCUCCAGUAUUCGUUGUUCCAUCCAUAUGUUAUCCAUCAGGUUUACACUCUGAAGGCUUCCAGUUACACUACACUCUUGAUUUCUAGGAAAUAUUGCCUCCAAUAUUAUAUGCGCCCUACAGAUCACAUCAUUGGUAACAUCUUUAUCACAAGAUGAUAAAAAACGCUGCAACUCAGCUGAAGGUUUUGAAGAAAGAGGACAAAUAACAGAACGAAGCCAUUUCGCAGUUGUCAUUGCAGCGCUGACCGGUGUAGCUGCCAUCUUCGCACUUGGCGGCCCAAGGACACCAUUUGCAUGAGAUGCAGGAGGGCGUUGAGGAGACAGCGGGCUUGAGAUCGACUUUGAUGGUGAAGCUACUGAAUCAAAUUUCCUCUACUCAAAACAGAAUAAAUGCUUUCUUAAAUAAACUGACUGCUAAGUACAGCAUAAAAACUAAAAAGUAAAAUGCAUUUUCUCAAAUUUGAAACAGACCUUGAUACCAGUAACAUUCAUGGUCCCUCCAGAAAAGCUCCCUAAACCAAGUAAACUAUCUUCAUCGUUUACAAACACCCUCUCAUCCAAAUCACCUUUAUUACAAAUUGCAUUAUCGUAAUCCUUCUCUAACAUAUUUAAACUGGAUGAAAGAGAUUUUUCCUCCAUUAAACCUUCAAAAUAGAUCAAGCUAUCUGCAUCAAAGAAGAUCAGAAAAAUUAGAAGCAAAACAGACGCAAGCAUGCUGCCAAAAUUGCAUUCAUGACCUAUUUGACGAACCGGUAUCAAUAUUUUCCAGUGUUUCAGUUUUGCACUCAGCUGCUGGACAUGGCUUUUUUUUCAAUAUGUCCUCUAUUAACUUAUUGGCCGUCUCCAUUGUUUUCCUCAAAUCAUCUUCUGAAGCAUCAUACAUGUUGCAAAGUGACGCAAGCAAGUCGACACCUUUGUCACCUUUCUUAACUGAAUGAUUGCAUGUCAAAGAAGUCAACAAUGAGGAACGCCAAAAUUUUACCCCCACCAGGAAAGGAAAAUAAAAAGAAUGUAAAUGAGCAAGGACUAAACAACAGUGAAGAAUGCUGGACAGAAUAAAAGAUAAAGACCAAAGAAGAAUCACAAAUGUAUUCUCUUUAUUGAAAAGGACAGAUCUAAAAAUUUGACAGCCAUGAAGAGCAGAUAAUUACCAAAAUGUGGAGAGUCAUUGAUCUUGAAGUUUCUGAAGCGAACAGGAACAUGUAUAAUCAAGAUAGCCUGUUGACAAUCGCAUUAAAUAGUUAGAAAACAUUAAACUCUCCAUUAUUGAUCAAUGUGCUAUGAAUGUACAAGGAUAGAGUGCAUCAAAGACAACAGCAUAGUUGAGUUGAAUCUUUUGAAGCACAUUUAACUGUAACUCUCUACCUUUGCAUUCCAUUUGAUAAUUAUUAAAUUAAUCCAUUACACAUACAAAUAAUAUCAGAACAUGUUUCACCAUAAGAAAGAGAUGACAUGUUAUUCCUUAGUAAAACCAAGUGUCUACCCAAAUCAACUAGUAAUAAAGCAACAGAAAUGCGUAACUGACCAGUAUAGAAACAAAACCGUUUGCACAAGUCACUAGGUCUUUAAAACGACUGAAUGCGUGCACGCGGAGUGCCAAAAACAGUAACCAUCCAAAUCGAUGACACUCUGAUAUAUAAUCUGACGAACUGGUAGCAUUUUGCUGCUUGUCAAUAUUUGCAUCACUUGUCAAGAAGAGUUCCCAAAAUGCACGCUUGUAUGACCUUUUUAUACCAUUAAAACAGCAAGAUGCAGAUGUUAUUUACUUCACAAAAUGGAAAAUUAUACACAGUAACCACAAAAUUGAGGUUUUGAGGAUACAGCUGCUCGAAGAAAAAAAAAUUUAUAGCAUGCGCGAUACAAAUUGUGUAAUAUAUUAUUUCAAAUAUAAUUCUGCAAUCUGCGUAAGUGAGAAUUUCAUAUUUAUAUCACUAUCUUAACUUUAAUUUUAUCAUCCGUCUGGAGAAGACAACAGUCAAAACAUGCCAUAAACAAGGGCACAUGACCAGUUACUUUUAUAAUUAUGGCAUGUGUAUGGAUGUAUUACAUCAUUAUUGUAUUUUUGCUUUAUGGAGGAUAAAUACUUGAUAAAACCACCACAAUUAGGCCUCCUCCUGCAAAUUUUAGGCAAGGUUCGAGACGAAAUAUGAAAGUAAACUGCAAUUCUAACCCUUAUAGAACAUAAGUUGACGAACCAGAAGCAAUAUACCUUUUUCACCGGUGUGAUUUUGUGCAUUUAAAACUAACCCAUCAAAUUUAGCACAUCGUAGUCCUAUUAAAGAUUAGGGGAGAAAUGCUAAUACAAUUACAAAGCUAUUUGCACAUAUUAUCUUUAUAACCUAGGUUAUAAAAGAAGGGUACCUACUUGCUUAAAAGGCUCAAGUGCACAAAAUUGGCCUGCAUCUCCGUACCCUAAUUGAUAUAAGUACCAUAAGCAGAUAGUCAGGUCGAAGUGACACGGCCGUACAAUUUUUAAAAAAUAUAGACAAAAUAGAAAACAAGCGGAAACAUAAAUCUAUAUUCUUUCAAUACCUCAAGUCGAGUCUCCCAAUCUUCACCAUACAUGUUACGUAAAACGGGACCAGCUUUUACCACAAACUGAGGCAAUUCCUUAAAAAAAUCCACGAUACUGCAAAAAUAAAAUAAACUCACUAUCAUUGAAAUGGUUAUUGAUCGCAAAAGUUACCCUUCCAUACACAAAAUUAACAGUAUCAUACUUCAGCUUUGUAGCUCUCAAUAUCUGGCAAAACGAAAACCCACUUUCAUCAGACUCUUGUUGCGUAUUUUCUCCAAUCUUUUCACUCAGCCGCUUGAGCGAAUAUAAGACAAAUGAAAACCGAAAUCGCUCUGCUUCUUCCAGCUAAUCAGAAUAAAUGCAACAAAGUUAUUUAAUUAAAAAGCAACUCCCUUUCGUAAUUUUCAUAUAAAAGGAAGUUAAAAUAAUAAAAUAAUAAUAAUAAUCUACCGUUCCGCUUCCAAUUGAUGAAACAUUUGACGUUAAAAGGUGUUUUGUUUCUUUGAAUAGCUUCAUAGCAUUUGAACAAGCUUUCUCAUCCAGAGAUAACCCAUUCUGGAAAUCAGGAAAACAUAACACUAAAAAACACAAAAAAGAAAAUAGAAAUACUUGAAAUAAUAUUACUGGAAAUAACAAAUCACUACCUUGCACAAAGCAUUGAAUCUAGCUUCAACGGCAUCGCCAUCUGUGCCACCAGAAGUUGCAACUGAAGGCUUCGUGUCUUCCAUAUUUAUUAAUAACCCUAGUAGUGGAUCUCAAAGUUAUCAAUUUCAGAAAAGUUCAGGAUUCAAAUCUCUCCAACAAUUUUACUCUUAAUCAGCAUAUACGAGAUUAAACUAGCUAAAUCUAUAAAUACAUAACAGCAACUUAAACCUCCGCCUCAAAAUAAAAGUUUAUGCCAACAUUUCAAAAUUUCUAGCUAUUAAUAUACAAUUAAAAAGUAAUAAUCAGUAAAAAAUCAUUUAUACUUCAGGAAAUGGCGAACUACUUUUUAAGAGUGACAAGCAAAAAGUUGAAAAAAAAUAAAACAUUAUUCAAAGAAACCUUACAAAAUUUAGGCUUGAAAUUAGGUUGAGAUCUCGGAUCUAACGAUCCAGCAAACCAGAAACCCUAGCUUCGAAUUCCCCGCCCAAAACAUAGCGUUUUAAGGGAUCGAGAAAAAAGAAAAAGGGAAAAAAAAUCGUUCUUUAAUAAUUUGGAUUAAGAACAAUAAUCCUAAAAUUUCCCCUUUUUUUCUUAUAUAUUUUUGCUCUUCUUAACCUUGGGUUUCUUUUUGUGGAAAACCCUAUCAACGAAGGAUCUUUCCCUCUUUAGCGCGGGAAAAUUAACCAACAUAACAUCAUGAUGGACAUGCACCAUGCACAUGACAUUCAUAGCUAGCCAAUUAUUUUUUGACGCGUACUGUUGCCGCCAUUGGAUUUUACCGCCAAAAUCCAUUAACAUCUAGCCGUAACGGAGAUUCCCGCUUUGGAAAAGAUCGGUAAAGGAUUCGCGUUUUCUUCGUCACGGUGAAUUUAACGGAGAGUUGGUGAGUUGGGCCGAGCAGUUGUCGGAGUCUUGAAAAUUGGGAAGAGAUAGUGUCAGGUAGACUCGUGUGAGAAUGGGGCCCACUGAAAGGGUUUUUUUUUUUAUAGUGUCGUUUAGCGGUAAGAAGUUGUGUCGUUUUAUGUGAGUGAAAUGUUACGAUGAGUGCAUUCACAGGGACUUUUCUGUAGGACCACGUCACUGAUGCUUAGGCACGUAAGGCCUUACACCUUACAUUAUAAGCGUACACCAUUUUAACAUUUGGAGUAAUUGAAAAGAAAAUUAUGAAAUGUAGCUUGGUGGUUGCUUUCUUUUAAUCAUGAUAUUAAAUAUUUAGUCUAUGUUUAAAAAAAUAAAACAUAUUUCAUAAUUAAUUAUUUACUUAUUAAGAGAAUAUCUGCAUCUUAACUCGAUUGGUAUAAGUAUUGUUGCUAAUGCAGAAGUAUGUAAGUUUAAAUGCGUUGAAGCAAGUACAACUAAUUUCAAGAACAACAUGAAUUAGAUAGGUAUUGCCAACGGAGGACCAUCCUACCACCUCUGGCAUUGUUGCUUGCAAAAGUGGAUUGAGUUGUUUCCUCCUCCAGAGGCUGGUUAUCCCUCAUGUUAGUGUCCCUAGAUGUUCUAACCUCAUACUAGGCAGUCUUCCAAGUCCAACAAGCGUUGUUCCUGAAACUAGUCGUGCUGCUUAAAGAGUUGAGCUAAGGUGGCGCAUCUUCUCCUACAUUUCUGUGACUUACUGUCGGGAGCCAGAGUUUUGAUGCUGAAUAUUUUUAUGAAAAAUGUAUUCCAACAUGGAUUUGGAAAAACCAAAACCUCAAAAUCAUCAUGCAUGUUGGAUUAAAUUUUGUUUUUGGUUCCUCUACAGUAUAGUUUACAAUGCCAAUCCUUGUAUGGUUUGCUUGUUUUCUCCUUGCCAAAAAUAGUGGAUUUUAGUGGGAAUCUGAGUUUCCUGUUUUUGCUUAGUUUUUGGAUUCCACCAGCUCAUGAUAAAUUACCGAUGGCCAACUUCUCAUUCAUGUGUUAUGUCAAUAAGAAUGAAGGAACAGUGCUAAUAACAUGAUAAUUUGUGUACCUCUGCAUCAAAGUUGAGAAUCAAUUUCUAAGCCUUCUGAUAUUGAUGAUGUUUUUUUUUAAGUGGUGUAGGUAAACAUUUUUAUUUUAAAAAAAAGCUAUAAGAAGAAAACAAAAGUGCACACCCCAAAAUGAAAGUUUUAACUUAAAAAAAAUCACGAAAAAAUAGUAUCUAAAUUAAAAGAUGAUUAUUAUUUAAAAUUUAAAUGUUAAUAUAAUAUAAGAAUCUAAUCUAAUAUAUAUAUAUAUAUAUAUAUUUAGAUGCAAAAGAGAUAAUUUAAUAGUUAAGAUAUUUUUUUUAAAUUGUAAAAAUUAAAUAAAAAGAGAGAAAUGCCACUUGGCGCUUUAUGGGCUUGUGUACCUUAUUAUAUUAUAUAUAUUAUUUGUUAAACAUGAAAGCAAAAAAACAUAUAGUUGCACUAGACUUGAAACGGGAGCCCAAACAACCACCUAGAGGGGGACAAAAGUUUCAAAAAUUGAAGGACUUAAUAUAUAUAAAUAUACACUUUUAAAAUCUUAGGGGAUCGGAGCCUUUACCUACCCCACAUCGACCACUUCUUCGAAUUUUUUAUUCUUUCUAGAUUAAUCACAUAGUUUAAAAUAGAAUUCACCAAUUAUCUCAUUUUCCUGCAUCCUUAAGGUUUCAAACUUAAUAGUCAGCAUUUUGCAACUUUGAUUGCAUAACUGUAUUUUUAACCUUAUGUGUUGUUUCAAGGAUAUCCAAACCUCAUUGGCAUGGUACACUUAGAAAUCCUCUUGAAUUAUUAGGCAUCCUCACCACAAAAAAAUUUGCGUUAAGAGCCUUUGAAUUCACAUUAGCAAGUUUCUGCUCUUAGUGGUCCAGGUCAACUCAGACUUAGGUGUAUUGACACUAGAGGCUUUAGUGAAUGGGUGCUCCCAAUCAGUAACAACAAAUCUUCAGGCUUUUUCAUCCAUAGACUUGACGAAAGUCGUCAUUCUAGUUUUUCAGUAGGCAUAGUUCUCACCAUCUAACAUGGAGGGAUGGGACGCUGAUGAUCUUUCCAUUUCAAGCAAAUAUCAACACUAAAAAAAUGAAUAGUGCUACGAGUAAUGCCAACUACUUCAAGAACAAAGAUGAACUCAAUGAUAUGUUUAUGUAGUUCAAUUUCUAUAUGUCUAUGAGGUCUUGCCCAAAGAGAUAAUUCACUACCUUAACAACUCGUACAACAAGUGAUUAUAAGUACUAAUACUCACCAAUUAGCAACCUCACUUUUGCAAUUAAGAUCUAGAUUUCUCUCCUCUAAGUUUUCUUCCCGAAACAUAGGGUGAAAACCAAGUAAUUCACUAGUUAUCACACUCAAUGCACUCAAAAUUACAAGUUCCUUACUGAACAAAUAAAUGCUCAAUCUCUCUAUGAAUAACCUAUACACAUCUCAAGUAUUUAAACUACUUUCGAUUUGUUAACAUUCUAGAUCAAUUAGAAUCAAUCUUCCCAUCAAUAAAGCAAGAUAAUUAGCAUGGAGAAUAUCUUCAAUGAGUCCAAGAUAUGUCUUUUAAUUUUCACUAUAUGUUACCAAGUUACCUGAUCUGAUCCAAUCCAUACCAAUCUUCAAGAUAUAUUAUUACAAUCGAUUUGGAUAUCAUAGAUGGGCUUACACACAUCCAAAGUAUUAGUAAAGAUCAUAGCUUAAUAAGUUUUUAUUUACAAAAAUUGUCAACUCUAAAUAUGACAAGUUAUGAGGGUAAGCAGUUUUAAAUAGCAGCGAGCACUACUCUAAGCACUCGUAACUACCUCAACAUGAUUUAUAUAAAAAAAUUAAAAAUUAAAAUAAUGAUUAAAUUGAAUAAAAUAAAAAAAAGAAAUCUAGGGAUUUAUUCCAACAUUAUCAAUAUUGAAUUAUGGAUUUAAUUAAAAACAGUGUAGUGUACCUUGCAUUUUUCAGAUCCUUUCAAGCACUUUUUGUCACCCGCAUCACAACAUGAGGACGUCAGAAUCGCAACACCUCCAACAGGCGACGACAUCACAACGAGAAGGCUUCUAACGUCACGAUGAGGAGGUUUCCGACAUCACAACGAGGGCGAAUAUGACGUCGGGACAACACGACUUUUUCCCCAAGUAACUCAUCCGUGUUUUACAGCAAAAUAGGGUUACUUUUCCCAGUUAAACUCUAAUUACUUCAGCAUAAUUCUAGUCAUAUUAGGUCACAAAUGUUAGCCUAUUUAAAGGCCACAGUAACACUAGAAUUUAUAUAUAGAAAAUACAGAAUUGAGAGGAAAAAUAAGAGUUUUGCAGGAAUUUAGUAAGAACUUUAUAUUUUGGCUUCAUGUUUGUUUUGAUUUUCUAUCUUGUACUCUUUCGAUUUUGUUCAUAAGUGAAGUUUUCUUUUUCCGUGGCUCUUAUCCUCUUCAUCCGAGGAGUUUUUCUACAUAAAUAUUUGUUUCUCUAUUUCUUCUUUCUCGUUGUUUAUACGGGUCGAACCCCAACUAAAACAUUGCAAAAUUCAAGUAUUAAAUUAAAUAAAACAUGAAUCCUGUAAGGAUAUUUUUGGAAUAAUAUCAAGUUAGGAUUUGUCGAACAAAAAAAGAGAGGCUAAAUUGAAUAUGUAUUUAUAGAAUAAAUUUAUUAAAUACAAUCCAUUCAUGCAUUGCAGGGUUAAAAAACUAAUAUAUAUUGUAAAAUUAAUAAGGUAAAAAAACUCUUAUGUGACAUCAUAAAAUUAUGACAGUAUAUAUUUUCAUCAAUUAUAAAAUUAAUAUAACUAUUUUUUGUAACAUUUGCAAUGCACAUGAAAAUUUUAUUUAUUUAAAUUUGUCCCUAUUUUUAAAUAAAACAUUAUGUUUUUCUUAAACCUAAACUUCCCAUAUUUUUAAAGAUAUCAUCAAACUAAUUUUUAAUAACUAAAAAAUUAACUACCACACACAUUUCAUUAAAAAAAAUUACAUAUAAAAAAUAAUUUAUCAUUGAUCGCUUGUUUAUAACAAUUAAUAAAAGUUUGUCUAUUAAUAAAAUUGUAAAGUGAAACUUUAACCCAUAUUUAUAAUUUUAAAUAUGUAAUAUAGCACUUUUAUAAUAAUUAAUUUGUUACAAAAUUAUAAAAUUAGCUCAAAUAAUGUUUACAAUGUGCUCAUAUAUAAGAAAAUUUUAAAUUAAGUUAAUAAUGUUUGCAGUCAGAUAAUAAUAAUAAUAAUUGUUAAAAUUUUAUUUUAACUUAAAUAAUGUUGCAUAGAUAAUUAGAAAUUUUAUAAAAAAUAAAUUAGGUAAUUUAAAAUGUAUAUAAACCGAGACAAAUAAGAAAUUUAAAUAUAUAUUUAAAAUUUAAUAUAUAUAUAUAUUGUACAUUUUAGAUAAUUAGAUAACUUCUUUAAAAUCUUAAAAUUAGAUGAUAAUUUGAAUUAUGAGCCGUUAAACAAACUAAGCAUAAUAAUUUAUUUGAUUCUUCAACUUUACAAAAAAAAUUAAAAUUAUUUUAACCCUUCAUUUUUUUUUUUCAUGUAAUUAGCUUUUUAACUAGCAUUAUUUGCAAAUCGCCAUAAACAGAUAAAAUAAAUUUAUUAGCUUUACUAACGUAACAUCCACAUGUAUGUCACAUUAAUAAUUAAUUAAUUUCUAAAAUUAAAAAAAUUAUAAAAUUAUUUUAAAAAUUAAAAAUUAUUUUAAAACAUAUAAAAAUAUUUUUAUAUAUUUUUAAAAUUUUAAAAGUUCAUUAGUUGUUGUGUGACAUACAAGUCAACUAUCACGUGAAUGGCUACAAACAUUAAUAUUUUCAUUCAUUUAAGAUGAUUUGACAAGUGAUACAAGUCAUAUAUUUAUAUCCCUCCUUUUAUCACCUUUACCUUAGAAGAUACUGUUAAAAAAGAAAUUGACCUCUAAAAAUCUCCUAAAACAAUCCCAAAGAAAAUUACCCCCUUCAAGGAGCACUGUGAUUCCGAUAUAAAUGAUGAUCAAACAGCAGUACUAUUUGGCUACAACCAGGUAAAGAAAGGCAAAACUUUAUUCAAUUUGUUAGGCCAAGCUUCAAAGUACUGUUAGCUAACAUCAGUGAACACAUUGGGAAGGUGGUGGGUAUUCUACAGUAACACACCGCUCAUACGUACCUCGUGUGAUGAACUUACAUUCAUACAUACGAUCUAACAAGAAUACAGGAGAGGGGAAGAAUAUACAAGGAAUAAGAGCGCGCUGGGCUAAGAUUCUGGUUGCUCGGAUUUUAAAGGUGCACCGGAUGAGGAUGCACAGCUCCCAUUUUGCAGGUAAAGGCUAUUUGCAACCAUAGAAUCACUAACCAAGCCGACAUCAACAUCGUCGAAGUUGAGUGCCCCUCUGAUCUUCCUGCCACUGGAAGCAACAAAGCAAAUGGCAGCUUCAUUAGUUAAGUACAUCACGAUAACUUUGGUGAAUGUACUUGGUAGGUCCUUUUUAUUAUAUGGACCAGAUUAAAUUAGCCUAUCUAAGAUCAAUUUAGUCUUUGUAUUAUUAAAAAGAAUCAAUUAAGGCCAAAUUUCAACAGAGUUCAUAUUUACUAUUUAAAAAAUGUCAUUUUCUACUCAACUAAGUUAUAUUUUGAAAGCUUUUAAUGGCAAAUGAAAUAUUCUUUUUAGAGUAGAACUGUAAAUGAAAAAAUUAAUUUUUCAUAUCAUUUUUUAAUCAAUAAAUGUUAACUCCGUUGCAUUUUAGCCUCACUUGAUUCUUUUUAAUAAUAUAGGAAUUCAUAUUAAUAGUACAGAGGCUAAUUUGAUUCAAUCCCGAUAAUAGAAGGCGUUUGUAGGUACUUUCACCCAAGAACUUCUAUACUUUAAAAAAAUAUUGUUACCCAGGGAGAGGAGAAGAAUACCCGUUCAAGUGAUUGUUGAUAGCAGUUAGGUCUUUCGAAGGGCUCUGAUAGGCACGAGUACUCUCUCCAACACAAGCAUAGUAGCUUCUUGAGCUAUGCGAGAUUAGAGCAUCCAUCUGUAAAUGAAAACAAGAUCUAAUUAAUAAACAACGGCACAUACUUCUUUCCUGUGGAACCACAAAUUCCAACUAUAUUACUCAGACUCUUCGGGGUUUUUUUUUGUUUUGUAUGUACCAUGUUCAGACACCAGUCUCAUGUAUCUAUACACAUGUAUAUCAAACCAUGUACAAGGAUAUAGCCUAAAAAAGCCUUCCAGAUACAUGAAAAAACUAGAAAAUUCUGAACAUACCCAUCCCAGAAACAUUCCCAUAUCACACACUCAAACCUGAGAGCCCGAGUAACAUAGGAUUCAAAUACCAACAGCUAAAAAUAGAAUAAUUUUCUAUGAUACCUUGUUCAGUCAAUCAAGAGUCAUAACCCGAGAUUCAACUUUUCCUACAAGAUUCAUAGAACUUAAAAUCGGAAUUUUAAAGGAUCUUUUUCUUUUAUUGGUCUUUUACAAGUCCUGCAUCUUGGACAGAGUGCAGCAUCUCUUGAGUGGCAAUAGUUCUAAGCAAUCAACUAAACUUUUUCCUGUUUGCUCUAGAAGGCUGGUCAAAUCUUAAAUGUACGAGUCUGAUUUUCUACUAAAUGGAAAAUUGGCGACUCAAAGUCAACUCAAUGGAGAGACCAAAAAAAGAAAAAAAGAUUUUAAGUACCUUGGAUGUCCGCAAUGGAGACACAUAUACGUUAUGCGUUGCAGAUACUUUCUUUGGGGACAUAUCAGGGAGACUUGGAAAAGGAGAAACUUUAGGAGAUCCAGGGCAUGUACCUAAUUAGGCAAAAUGAAGAUAGAACAAGUAAAAUUAGAUAACCUGCAGAUGCAGCAAGAAAAGAAUAUAAAACUGAAACCUGGGUACAAUAAUGGUCUAUAUGAAACAUUUACCAUCAUUACUAUUGUUGGCUUCAGCAACUCUACUCGUUCUUGUGGUUGUUCCAGCAGAACCAAGUUCUCCCAGCAAAGGCUUUAUGGAAGGAACGAAUGUUUCGUUGUAGAAUGCAAUGAUAUCAACAUUGUCCUGCCCAGUUCUCUGUUUACAUAUCAUUAAAAUGGUUAAAAUUUCCUCGAAAAGGAGGGAGAAAAGCAACUGGAGAUGAGAUAUCGUACCCCAUUUCUUCGUGCAGAUGACCUGUCAACAAAUACACUUUGGAAAACUUGUGGCUUACAUUGUGGUUGCUUCUUAUAGUUGCAAAUAAUUUCUUUGAAAGUCAGGCGCAACUGAGAUAUCUGCAAGUCAUUCCUUCAGGAAGUAAGAGGAAAUAGUGCAGAUAAAUUUAACUGUGGCUAAAAUGAUCUCAUAAGAUGUGCAGACCUUCGCGACUACAUAGAAACAACAAAGGAUGAUCUGGUCAAUAUGACGGUUAAAGAACAAAGAAGUCCUCUGGUUAAGUAUUUUUUGGAAAAGAGAAUACACACUCUCCCUUAUCUGUUGAGACAGUUGUAGCCUCUCAACCAUGCCAUUAAUCCGGACAGCAGCCAACUUAUUAAUCUGGGCGGUGCAAACAAAGAAAAAGAAAAAGCAAAAUGUAAGACAUGUAGUAGAUGAUAACCACUGAGUUUAAAUCAAAUUCAAUAGUAAGUACUUGUGGGCAAUUUGCCACAAGAAAAUUAUAUCGCAGUAGAUUUACAUUUUACAAUCAAGUACUAGGAGGUUAAAUUUUUGAACCAGUUAAAAGUGUAUUAAGGUACACCAUAGUUUCAUAAAAAAGUCUAAUUCAUCUCAUGUUUUGAUACCUUGCUAAAAAAUAUAUUUAUUCCUGUUUCCGCACAUGUUUCUCCUCCACCACCAGGGUUAGGGCGUGUUGGACUACAAAAAAAAGUACCCAAAAAGAAAAUGCAGUAAGCCAGAGCAAUUAGUACAGGUCUCCACUUCCUUAGAACUUGCACCCUACAAUACCUGGCAAAUGCAGAUUGCAAAGGUGCCUUCUUAAGAUUGCUUAAUGCUAAUAGACGAUCCUUCACUGGUGAUGUAAAAGCAUUCCGUUCAACCAACACACUCCUCAACUCCGUGCAAGGUCUCAUGGGAGACCUGACAUCCCCAUUUUGUCCUGAUAAAAGUAACAUGACAAUGUAAAUUAAGUUCAGGAUAGAAUACAUUGUGAGAAAGAACCAUAAUAAAAUCCGGUAACACAAGUUACUGCAUUAAACAAGAAAAUUGGCAUACUGGUCACAGUUUCUCCAUACCUGAAAAUAUAACUGCUAAAAUUAAGCUAACAAUGUUGCAUACCUAAGAUUGAGCUACCAGCAUUCCCCGUUGAUGUUUCAUGCUUCUGCAAAGGAGGCACCGGAGGUGUACCUCCAGAAAAGUUUAUAUGUGUUGCAAUUGCAUCCAAAGGUAGCAUUGGUUCUGCCAAUAAGCCAAGACGAUUUAUUUCGGCAGAUAGGGCAGGUUUUGCAACUAUCAAAGAAUUGUACAUUGAGGAACCUUUAUCCCACACCAUGCUCUCCAAAAGCCUCUCUUCCAGAGAAUUUAGAUGCCGCCUCAGUUCCCUUGGUAGAGACUCCUCAUGUCUAAUAAAACUCUCUAUCACCUUGCUCAAAUCAAAGGCUGUAAUACCAGUUCUGUCCAGAACUGUAGGAAACAACAUUGUGGCAGUCUUAUGUGUCGCCAGCACUAGUUCAGCAGAACAAGCAAGCAUGCAUCUAUGAAACCUCUCAUUAGUUAAUAAAGAGGUCAAAUUAGGUGCAUGUAAUAUUUGGGCCUCUGCAGUACACAUAGCUUCCAAAACCCUAUAGUACAACUUACGUGCCUCCAGUCUUCGAUGUUCCAUCCAUAUAUUAUCCAUCAGGUUUACACUCUGAAGGCUUCCAGUUACACUACACUCUUGAUUUCUAGGAAAUAUUGCUUCC